rnacentral:sRNA from 1 species
AGUAUUUGGGGGAAUGUUAAACUGUUCUUUAUCACACUGGAGUAUGCAUCCAAACUCAAAUUGUGAGAUUAAAUGUGGAGACUCUGUAUGGAGAUUUUAGUUGAUUUUUUUUUCCCACAGUGCUUAGCAGCUAGAGUCUGAAAAUCCCCAGCCGCCCAUCAACCUUCACUUUUAAGAGAUGAUUAAACCAUGGGAUUUCAAGUCAAAUCCCUUUUCCUCCCGCCACACGUGGAAAGCACGCGUUAUGUUAGAAUCUAAGCGUGGUGUAUAAGGCUCAGAUACCAGCCGGAUGCUUUUCCCUGUGUGGCAGCCCUUUCCGCUUUCAUUUUUGAGGUUCAGACGAAUAUUACAUUCAUGGUUCCAGUUCUGUACAGUCAUAUCCCAGAUUGCCGGAGCAAACCCUCCACUACCUGGCUCUGGGUGAAGAUUCCUCUAAGAGUAGGAACCCCAGGGGGAGUCCGCUGGCAGGUACUGGGAUGCGUGAGAGCAACUAGAAAAGAAGCUGGUGGAUCUCUCGGAAAUCAGUUUGAGCAAUCGAAACUCAGCUCAACCUGGGGGUCCCUGCAGUGUCAAACAGGGGUCUCAUACUGUGUCUGUAACUCCAACUCCAACUCCCUGUGCUUCUACACCCGUCUCAUCCCUUCUCUUCCAAAUGACUGUUGAUCCCCAAGCCAGGAAUCUCUGAAGCCACCCUAGUUCCUGUUUCUUGUGUUCGUUUGAUGGAAUACUUGAUGGUAGAACUUUGGGACUCUGAGCUAACUGGCCCUAGCCAGCUUAGAGAGGGCCUAAAGGGUUACAUCAAACAUGCUUGAUUGGCCUGGGGUCUCUGCUUCCUGAUGCACCAAGACGCAUGGGCCCCUUUUCUAAUUUCUGUCACCGCGAUGGAGUCCCAGCCAUGCCUUCCCCACCGUGAAACCAUGAAUUAAAAGAAAUCCUUCUUCCUUCAGCUCCUCCUCAGCUAUUUCUCAGAAAUGUCUCCGAAACAGGAGAAUAAACGAAUACAUUUGCUGGUUUUGUUCCUUGUGAGCGGAAAUGAGACCUGGUCUCACUAUGUGGCCCAGAUAUCACUGCACAGCCCAGGCCGAACUCGAAAUCGUGAUCCUCCUGCCUCAACCUUCUGACUGCCUGGAUUUCAGGUGCGUACCACUGUCCCCAACACUGCCUGCUCCUGCUGCUCACUUCCACCACCAUGGAACCUAAGAAAGCUGAACCUGAACAAGCCUGCUCUCCACUCUUCCAACCGAAGCCCUUCUUUCCCCCUCAUUCAUUCUACCUGGCAAAAUCACUGAUAACAGACUCUAUCUGCACACGCCUACAAGGAUCAUUGUGAUGGAGGUUUUCCCAGUGUCCUCUACGGCCAUUUCAAGACAUUGAAACUGUUUGUGCAUUCCUCUUAAGUCGUGUACAUUUGUCAAGUAAAUCAAGAUUAAUUUCAAAAUAACAAAGAUGAA